rnacentral:rRNA from 1 species
AGUAACGCGUGAGGAACCUGCCUCAAAGAGGGGGACAACAGUUGGAAACGACUGCUAAUACCGCAUAAGCCCACGGCUCGGCAUCGAGCAGAGGGAAAAGGAGCAAUCCGCUUUGAGAUGGCCUCGCGUCCGAUUAGCUAGUUGGUGAGGUAGUGGCCCACCAAGGCGACGAUCGGUAGCCGGACUGAGAGGUUGAACGGCCACAUUGGGACUGAGACACGGCCCAG